rnacentral:rRNA from 1 species
GAUGAACGCUGGCGGCGUGCCUAAUACAUGCAAGUCGAGCGAACAGACGAGGAGCUUGCUCCUCUGACGUUAGCGGCGGACGGGUGAGUAACACGUGGAUAACCUACCUAUAAGACUGGGAUAACUUCGGGAAACCGGAGCUAAUACCGGAUAAUAUAUUGAACCGCAUGGUUCAAUAGUGAAAGACGGUUUUGCUGUCACUUAUAGAUGGAUCCGCGCCGCAUUAGCUAGUUGGUAAGGUAACGGCUUACCAAGGCAACGAUGCGUAGCCGACCUGAGAGGGAGAUCGGCCACACGGGAACUGAGACACGGUCCAGACUCCUACGGGGGGAAGCAGUAGGGAAUCUUCCGCAAUGGGCGAAAGCCUGACGGAGGAACGCCGCGUGAGUGAUGAAGGUCUUCGGAUCGUAAAACUCUGUUAUUAGGGAAGAACAAAUGUGUAAGUAACUAUGCACGUCUUGACGGUACCUAAUCAGAAAGCCACGGCUAACUACGUG